UUCAGGGUAUUACUGUGGCCCUCUGGGGGGUAAGAGUCAGCGGAGCAAACACGCAAUAUGAGUACGGCUCCAAGCUCCAGCGCACAUGAGGUGUGUGCUAGGAUGUGUGUCUGUGAGUUGUGUUUGCAUGUGUGUGUUUGCGUGCGUUAAAAUAAGUUUGAAAGUUACAAAUAGAACAGUAUCAGUCAUGAGUGUUGUUAUUUUCACACCACUUUUCUAUUUGAUUCGGAAUGCAUGAUUGAUGUUUCCACCCAAGACACGAGUUUGGAUACAUAAACAGUAUUGGUCAAAUGCUAACAUGUAUUACUCAUCAUAUAAGUUAAAAAAAUAUCUAUACCGAUACUGGUAGUUAUAGUUAUUUUUAAAUCUAUAAUCGCUCUAAAUAGGAGCUUCGAAAAAUAUCAGAGGAAAACAAGUUUUAGUCCGAUACCAUACUUUAACUAUCCAUCAACUAUAAGCGAUAUUUAUGAAAUUGUUUACCCCAUCAUGAUUAACUUUAUAAUACAGUUUUCCAUAUAGUCAAACCCUUAUUAUUUUUUAGCUUCAUCCCAUUAUCAGCUCCAGCAGAGACUUUGAGACGUUUCUCAUUCCGGUUUUAUGCUGCUCAUAUGGAGAUCAUACGGUUCAUAAGAAGACCUCUCUCCCCUUGGUAUGGGGCCCUAGUUCACUUUCUCUCUCCUGGUGCUCCUCUGUCUGCUCCAGAUGAAGGGGAACCAAUUAAAUGUAACACGCCUUUGCAUCAGGCCUUGGGUAGUGCGUGAGGUCAGUGGUUUGUGUGAUUAGCCUUUAGCCGCAGGAGUUGGUGAGGUACCUGGGGAUGAGGCGUGGUGAAUGUGCUCUUCACUUAAGGUUCCCUAAAUUGCAUUUCUUUAUAUUUUUGGAUGUGUAUAUAUUUAUUUAUUUGUUUUUCUUUCGUUUAUUUUAAUUUUUUGUAGCAAGGAAAAUAUUUGCAUACUGGUGCACAGGUUUGACAAACUUUAUAUGUGUAUGUGCUAUGGGGGUGGGGAGUAUAGGCUACAACAUUGCAGGUCGUAUAUUGUAAUCGUUUCUUAAAUGUACUUUAAUCAAUAAAAACUUGAAAAGGAAAAACAAUUAUAUUGCCCAAAACCCUGCAUUCUUACCAAACAGUGAACACCUUGGCUUUACUUAUUUGCACAAUAACAUGAGAACCUAGUGUUGUUUUACCUGCUGCAAGAGGCACAGCAGGCUUGUGGGUUCGAAAAAAAUCUCAACCACAUUUCCGCCCUUGUCUAAACCUAGACAUGGUAACAUUAUUACACAACCUGUUAUGUGGAAACGCCAUUCUGUGGCCAGAACACACGUGCUGUUUCAAUGGAGAUUAUUUAAAGUUGUUCUAAAAGGGCCCCAUCGCAGCUGAGGCUGGCGUGCCUUUUCCCCCGUCCAUCACCACACGUCUGCGUACGGUGACAUUGGGCGCGGCACACUUCCCUCUUUGAAAAGCCAGAAUCCUGGUAUAGGUUACAUUUCACGUGACUAAGGUGGACUGUCCGCUCUCCACAUAUUACGUUCAGCACAGCCACAGGGGAACAUCACGAGCACAGCUAAAAUACAGGGGAAUCUGUGCUGAUUUGCGUAUCUGGCAGAGAGCAGGUUAGCGUACACUGGACUAACUGUUAUGCUAUUCUAUGCUAUGUCAUAGAGUCAACGGUCAUGUCCUUGAAGGUUAACCACACAGGAAAGCACAAGCAGGAAAGCAGGCAUUCCAGGCUGGUGUCAUGGGAGAACUGUGCACAUUUCUAAUGGACCACAAAAUGCAGUAGUGAGGGACGCUGAUCGCAGCCCAGAUAAGCCCCAUCUCCAUCUACAAUCACAGCUCCUGAGACGGAGUCCUUUCUCCCUAAUAAGUAAAUUACCUCUAAUACCCUGUGUGCUGCACUCUGCUGCUCUCAGGCCCUGCUGAGCCCUCAUGUAAACCAGAUGGAGCGCCAGGCAUUCCAGCACACGUACAGUACACAGUAAACAGGCUGAUGGACCCUGGAAGGAACACAAGGGCCGGCCUUUCAAUCAUGCACAUCCAAAGCUGGUGUGGACACAUCUAUGUAUGCCUGUGCGCACACUCACACAAAAAUACACACAAUCACACACACACGCACACA